CUCUUGGAACUGAACCUCUCUGAAAGCGGGUGACGAAGAAGUCGAGCACUGCUCCCCUCUCAGUGUAGUGAUCACCGCCUUCCGUCUAAGUGACUCCUCUUCCAUAAUAGAGCCGCUUAGAAGCCUCUUAGACCCGACCCUGGGUCCCAGAAAUACAGUCCCCUUCCACAAUACCAGCCAAGUGCGGGGGUUUCUGGGAGUGCAAGCUCCCAGUUCGCAGGCGCCUGGUACCUGGAAACCCAGGGACGGAGAUGCAUUUGGGAAGCGGGGUCUGCGGCUGCAGCCUUCAGGCUAUUACAGAUGCCAAAGUUCAACUUUCCAAAUGCAGUCACUCUCAUGAGAAGACCCAGUAUCUAAACAACAAAACUUAAAACACAAAGAAUGAAACAAUCUGAUUGCCUUAAUUGAAGCUUUGUGACUGGCAGUUCCCCAGAACAAUACAGAAGAAAAAGUGUCAACCAAGAAAAGUGUGUUAAAGACAGAAACAGAUUUCAACAUAUAUAAUGAAAAAAUAUGUACAAACACAUACACAUGUAUAUGCAUGCAAAGAUAUAUUCAGUAUCAAUCUUGAUGCUAUGACUACAAGAUGGUAUUACAUGUAAGUUUGUGCAAAUCACACAUUUCAUUGAAUAUAUUGUGGACAGGAAACUCUCCAUAGAAGCACACAUAGAGCUUAGUCUCCUACUGACUGGACAAUAGUG